GUGCCCAGAGCCGGGCUGGCGCUGCUCCCUCAGAGCGUUCCCGGCCCGCGCUCGGGAGCCGUGCGGCUCUUGCUCGGGCUCUGGGACAAGCGUGCGGCCGCUGCUGGGCCCCGGCCCGCAGAUCUCGCUGCUGGCCGAGGCUGGCCGAGGCUGCAGUGCCAGAGCUGCCGUGCGGCGUGGCACUGCCAGGGCCUCCCGGCCGGGCCUGGCUGGAGGUGCCCACACCUGAGGGAAAGCCCGCCAUGGCAGCGCCGGGGCCGCUCCUACCCCGGGGCCGCCGGCAGGAGCCACGGCUGGGAUGUGCCGACAGACCGGCACUGCUUGCACGUCUUCAGUAGAUGGAGACAGUGGCAUCACAAGAGAGCAAAAUAGUACAAACACCUGAUACAAAACUCCAGAGGAAAACCAUAGAACUGAAAGGAAAAUGAAGCAUGCAUCUGUGUCCCCUGUGUGAGUCUGAGUCAGGCACCUGCGGCGACAAACGGGAGAAAUAGGGGCUCUAUGCCCGAGUGCUCUGCCAGUGAUCAGCACGGGCAUGAAAUCAGGUUCAUCUCAGUUUAUUGCCAAGAGGUCUAGAGGAAAAUGUCGGUGCACCAAGAGCAGGUUUGGAAUCUGUGCAGUGCAAGAGACUCUGCACAAGCUCUCUGGGCAACCGACUGCCAGGGGCAGGAGCCCUGGGGUGGCCGUGCCUGAACAGCACCUUUGUGCCUACAGUGCCACCCUCGAUGGCUGCCCUGGAGCCUGGGAUUGGACCCUGCACUUGCUGCAGGAGUCUCUGGCCUGGUUCCGUGCUGACCAAAGGCUUGGAACCAUGUCAGAACCUCGGUUGCCAAGGGGGUGGCCUCAAGUGGCUACCGGGCAUGUGAGGCCAUGGCUGCGUGAAUCUUGGGAGCAAGAUGCUGAUGUCAGAGUGGCCAUUGUGACGCGUGCGACCAAAGCCCCAAAAGGGAAGGCUGGGCUCAGGCCGUGUGUCAGUGCGACCUGGCAACGGGAGGAGAAGAAUCAGCGCAGGAAUAUCCAGAGGAGACGGCGGUGUUCCUCAGCGCGACGACGGGAGCAGAAGGCGGACAGGAGCAGGGCUCACGCAGGGCUGACCAGGGAGUAGCACCCUCGUAGCUCUGGGCCUGUUCUCCAAACUCCCAUCACUUUUCUUCCUCCCACAGAGAGAGGACCAGCACCUGGCGGAGACAGCGGCGUUCCUGGACAGGGACUCAGCGCUGACAGCCGCCAUGUGCGACAGGGAGCAGGAGGGCUCUGAUGGCAGAGAGCAAGGUGAGGGCAAAGCAGCCCCUCUCACAGCCUGGCCCAGGGGCUGUCGGGGUGGCCAGCGUGGGGCCCAGAGCAGAG
rnacentral:lncRNA from 1 species